rnacentral:misc_RNA from 1 species
GCCUGCAAAAAUGGUUCUGGCAAAUACUCCAAGCCCACCACCUCAAAUCCUCUCCAAGCCCAACAACUUGUUCAACCAACACACCCAUCUUCUUUGCUGCUUGAAUCAAUGCAGGGACAUGUUACAGCUCAAGCAAAUUCACGCUCAAGCUCUCCGUUCCACAUUGCCUAACCAUCCAGACACCCUCUUUCUUUAUAGUCGAAUUCUCCAUUUCUCCGCUAUCAAUGACCUUCACUAUGCCUAUCAAGUAUUCAAUGGAAUUCACAACCCCAAUUCAUUUAUUUGGAACACUCUCAUCAGAUCCUGUGCGCAGAGCUCUGAUAGUAAAGAGCAAGCUUUUUUACUGUAUAAAAGAAUGCUAGAGCAAGCAACUGUCUUGCCUGAUAAGCAUACGUUCCCAUUCGUUUUGAAGGCUUGCGCUUACCUGUUUGCUUUGUAUGAAGGGAAACAAGCACAUGCGCAGAUGUUUAAACUUGGGUUCCAAUCCGAUGUUUACGUAAAUAACAGUUUGAUUCAUUUCUAUGCUUCUUGUGGUUGCUUGGAGUCAGCACAGAAUGUGUUUGACAAAAUGCCAGGGAAGAGUGUGGUUUCCUGGAACGCUAUGAUUGAUGCGCUUGUUCAGUUUGGUGAGUUCGAAAUUGCGUUGAAACAGUUUGUUCAAUUGCAGAAUUUUUUUGACCCUGAUGAAUAUACAAUACAGAGCGUUUUAAAUGCUUGUGCUGGGUUGUGUGCACUGUCGUUGGGGAUGUGGGCUCAUGCUUAUUUGUUGAGAAAGUUUGAUGAUAAUGUAGCUAUGGAUGUUUUGGUUAACAAUUGUUUGGUGGACAUGUACUGCAAAUGUGGUGCGUUAGAUAUUGCUUUACAGGUAUUUGAAAGGAUGGAUAGGCGUGACUUAACUUCAUGGAAUUCUAUGAUCCUUGGAUUUGCGAUGCAUGGGAAGGCUGAGUUAGCAUUGGAAUAUUUUGAUCUUAUGGUUAGGACAUGGAAGUUUAUACCUAAUUCUAUCAGCUUCGUUGCUGUUUUGAGUGCUUGUAAUCAUAGGUGUAUGGUCAAUGAGGGUCGAAAGUAUUUUGAGAUGAUGGUUUCUAAGUAUGAGAUUGAACCUCAGCUGGAGCACUACGGGUGCCUAGUUGAUAUUCUGGCUCGUGCUGGUUUGAUUGAUGAAGCUUUGGAUUUGGUGUCAAGCAUGCCCAUGAAACCUGAUGCUGUUAUAUGGAGAAGUAUUCUUGAUUCUUGUUGCAAGAAAAAUGCAAGUGUUGAGCUAAGCGAAGAAAUGGCUAGGCAGGUCAUUGAGUCAAAAGGCGGUGAUUGCAGUGGUGUCUACGUUCUCCUAUCCAGAGUUUAUGCAUCGGCUAGCCGAUGGAAUGAAGUUGGCUUGCUCAGAAAAUUGAUGACUGAUAGAGGUGUAACAAAAGAACCUGGCUGUAGUUUGAUAGAGAUAGAUGGUGUUACUCAUGAAUUUUUUGCCGGAGAUACAUCUCAUCCUCGAACUAAAGAUAUUUAUCAGUUCUUGGAUGUGAUUGAAGAAAGAUUAGAGUCGGUAGGUUGUACGCCUGACUAUUCACAAGCACCUAUGGUUGAUGACUUGAAUGAUGGUAAGCAAAAGAAUCUUAGGGUGCACAGUGAGAGACUUGCUAUUGCUCUGGGGCUUUUAAGCUUGAAACCAGGAAUGCCAAUCCGAAUUUUCAAGAAUCUUCAGGUUUGCAGUGACUGCCACAAGGUAACCAAGCUAAUCUCUAAAAUCUUCCAUGUGGAAAUUAUUAUGAGAGAUCGUGUUAGAUUCCAUCACUUCAAAGACGGCUUCUGUUCAUGUAUGGAUUAUUGGUGACGCAUUGACUGCUAUAAGCUUAAUUUUAGAAUAUUCAAAAACUGUAAUUGAUAAGAG